rnacentral:rRNA from 1 species
UACGUAGGUGGCAAGCGUUGUCCGGAUUUACUGGGCGUAAAGAGCGCGCAGGCGGUCGUUCAAGUCGAGUGUGAAAGCCCCCGGCUCAACUGGGGAGGGUCACUCGAUACUGAUCGACUCGAAGGCAGAAGAGGGAAGCGGAAUUCCCGGUGUAGUGGUGAAAUGCGUAGAUAUCUGGAGGAACACCGGUGGCGAAGGCGGCAUCCUGGACCAAUUCUGACGCUGAGUGAGCGAAAGCCAGGGGAGCAAACGGG